AUUGAACGCUGGCGGCAGGCCUAACACAUGCAAGUCGAGCGGAGCGGCGGAGGGGUGAGUGAUACCUAGGUAUGUGCAUGGUAGUGGUGGAUAGCGACAGGUAACGGGAGCUAAUACUGCAUCCUAUCAGAUGCAGCUAGGUCGGAUUAGCUAGUGGGUGGGGUAAAGGCCUACCAAGGCGACGAUCCGUAGCUGGUCUGAGAGGAUGAUCAGUCACACUGGAACUGAGACACGGUCCAGACUCCUACGGGAGGCAGCAGUGGGGAAUAUUGGACAAUGGGCGAAAGCCUGAUGCAGCCAUGCCGCGUGUGUGAAGAAGGUCUUCGGAUUGUAAAGCACUUUAAGUGGGGAGGCGUUACCAACAGAAGAAGCACCGGCUAACUUCGUGCCAGCAGCCGCGGUAAUUC
rnacentral:rRNA from 1 species